rnacentral:rRNA from 2 species
UUUGAUCCUGCCGGAGGCCAUUGCUAUUGGGAUCCGAUUUAGCCAUGCUAGUCGCACGAGUUCAGACUCGUGGCGAAUAGCUCAGUAACACGUGGCCAAACUACCCUUCGGAACACAAUACCCUCGGGAAACUGAGGCUAAUAGUGUAUCCCAUACCACCACUGGAAUGAGUGGUAUGCCAAACGCUCCGGCGCCGAAGGAUGUGGCUGCGGCCGAUUAGGUAGACGGUGGGGUAACGGCCCACCGUGCCAAUAAUCGGUAUGGGUCAUGAGAGUGAGAACCCAGAGACGGAAUCUGAGACAAGAUUCCGGGCCCUACGGGGCGCAGCAGGCGCGAAACCUUUACACUGCACGACAGUGCGAUAGGGGGAUCCCAAGUGCACAGGCAUAGCGCCUGUGCUUUUCGGCACCCUAAGGCGGUGCCAGAAUAAGGGCUGGGCAAGACCGGUGCCAGCCGCCGCGGUAAUACCGGCAGCCCAAGUGAUGGCCGAUCUUAUUGGGCCUAAAGCGUCCGUAGCUGGCCGCGCAAGUCCAUCGGGAAAUCCACCUGCUCAACAGGUGGGCGCCCGGUAGAAACUGCGUGGCUUGGGACCGGAAGGCGCGACGGGUACGUCCGGGGUAGGAGUGAAAUCCCGUAAUCCUGGACGGACCGCCGAUGGCGAAAGCACGUCGCGAGAACGGAUCCGACAGUGAGGGACGAAAGCCAGGGUCUCGAACCGGAUUAGAUACCCGGGUAGUCCUGGCCGUAAACAAUGUCUGCUAGGUGUGGCUCCCACUACGAGUGGGUGCUGUGCCGUAGGGAAGCCGCUAAGCAGACCGCCUGGGAAGUACGUCCGCAAGGAUGAAACUUAAAGGAAUUGGCGGGGGAGCACUACAACCGGAGGAGCCUGCGGUUUAAUUGGACUCAACGCCGGACAUCUCACCAGCAUCGACUGUAAUAAUGACGACCAGGUUGAUGACCUUGUCCGAGUUUCAGAGAGGAGGUGCAUGGCCGCCGUCAGCUCGUACCGUGAGGCGUCCUGUUAAGUCAGGCAACGAGCGAGACCCGCACCCUUACUUGCCAGCAGUACCGCGAGGUAGCUGGGGACAGUAGGGGGACCGCCGUGGCUAACACGGAGGAAGGAACGGGCAACGGUAGGUCAGUAUGCCCCGAAUGUGCUGGGCAACACGCGGGCUACAAUGGUCGAGACAAAGGGUUCCUACUCCGAAAGGAGACGGUAAUCUCAGAAACUCGAUCGUAGUUCGGAUUGUGGGCUGCAACUCGCCCACAUGAAGCUGGAUUCGGUAGUAAUCGCGUGUCACAAGCGCGCGGUGAAUACGUCCCUGCUCCUUGCACACACCGCCCGUCAAAGCACCCGAGUGAGGUCCGGAUGAGGCGUUCCACGAACGUCGAAUCUGGGCUUCGCAAGGGGGCUUAAGUCGUAACAAGGUAGCCGUAGGGGAAUCUGCGGCUGG